AUGGGUAAAGUAGAUCCUAAGAAACCAAGAGGCAAAAUGUCAUCAUAUGUGUUCUUUGUGCCAUCUUGUCAGGAGGAGCACAAGAAGGAGCACCCAGAUGCCUCAGUCAGCUCCUCAGAGUUUUCUGAGAAGUGCUGAGAGGUGAAAGACUACUUCUGCUAAAGCAAAAGGAAAAUUGGAAGACAUGACAAAGGUAGGUAAAGCCCAUUAUGAAAGAGAAAUGAAAACUUAUAUCCCUCCUAAAGGGGAGACAAAAAAGAAGUUCAAGGAUCCCAAUACACUCAAGAGGCCUUCUUCAGCCUUUUUUCUUGUUCUGUUCUGAGUAUCACCCAAAAAUCAAAGAACAUCCUGGCCUAAACAUUGGUGAUGUUGCAAAGAUGCUGGGAGAGAUGUGGAAUGGCACUGCUGCAGAUGACUAGCAGCCUUAUACAAAGAACGCUGCGAAGCUCAAGGAAAAAUGUGAAAAAGAUACUGCUGCAUACUGAGCUAAAGGAAAGCCAGAUGCAGCAAAAAGGGAGUUGUCAAGGCUGAAAAAAGCAAGAAAGAGAAGAAAGAAGAGGACAAGAAGAUGA
rnacentral:lncRNA from 1 species